AUACGGAGGAUGCGAGCGUUAUCCGGAUUUAUUGGGUUUAAAGGGUGCGUAGGCGGAUUAAUAAGUCAGUGGUGAAAACCCGCAGCUUAACUGUAGAACUGCCAUUGAUACUGUUAGUCUUGAGUACGGUCAAGGUAGGCGGAAUGUGUAAUGUAGCGGUGAAAUGCUUAGAUAUUACACAGAACACCGAUUGCGAAGGCAGCUUACUGGGCCAUUACUGACGCUGAUGCACGAAAGCGUGGGGAGC
rnacentral:rRNA from 1 species